rnacentral:rRNA from 1 species
AUACAUGCAAGUCGAGCGAACAGACGAAGUGCUUGCACUUCUGACGUUAGCGGCGAACGGGUGAGUAACACGUAAGGAAUCUACCUAUAAGCGGGGGAUAACAUUCGGAAACGGGUGCUAAUACCGCAUAAUAUCUUCUUCCGCAUGGAAGAAGAUUGAAAGAUGGCUCUGCUGUCACUUAUAGAUGACCUUGCGGUGCAUUAGUUAGUUGGUGGGGUAACGGCCUACCAAGGCGAUGAUGCAUAGCCGACCUGAGAGGGUGAUCGGCCACAUUGGGACUGAGACACGGCCCAAACUCCUACGGGAGGCAGCAGUAGGGAAUCUUCCGCAAUGGGCGAAAGCCUGACGGAGCAAUGCCGCGUGAGUGAAGAAGGCCUUCGGGUCGUAAAACUCUGUUAUAAGAGAAGAACAAAUUGUAGAGUAACUGCUACAGUCUUGACGGUAUCUUAUCAGAAAGCCACGGCUAACUACGUGCCAGCAGCCGCGGUAAUACGUAGGUGGCAAGCGUUGUCCGGAUUUAUUGGGCGUAAAGGGAGCGCAGGUGGUUUCUUAAGUCUGAUGUGAAAGCCCACGGCUUAACCGUGGAGGGUCAUUGGAAACUGGGAAGCUUGAGUACAGAAGAGGAAUGUGGAACUCCAUGUGUAGCGGUGGAAUGCGUAGAUAUAUGGAAGAACACCAGUGGCGAAGGCGACAUUCUGGUCUGUUACUGACA